rnacentral:SRP_RNA from 1 species
CGGUGGGUCUUAGGCGGGGGGCUAGGGGUCCCCUGUACCGUAAACCCCCUAUAUGACGGGCCGAAAGCUGAGGCUGAGGCGCCUGUGGCCGCCCAUCCCCUCUCUCUUCCGAAGCGGUGACCAUCCGUCCCUUGGGGUCGGCGGUCGCCGGGCGGCCUCCGUAGGGAGGCUUGCCACGGUGUUUGCCGGGUGAACCUGGCUAGGCCCGGGAGGGAGCAACCUAAGCCUGGACGUUCGGCGCUCAAGGGGGUGCGGGUGCGAGUGUAGGGUUUGAGGGGGUGGGUGGAUUCUGGGCGUCGAACCUCAGUGACCCACCG